GUGCUCUCUUCGGCCGGCAUACAUACUAAAAUUGGAACCCUACAGAGAUUAGCAUGGCUCCUGAGCGGGGAUGACAUGCAAACUCAUGAAGCAUUCUAUAUUUUU
ensembl:snRNA U6 U6 spliceosomal RNA